CUCCCACACCGCCAAACCUCUCUUCCCUGAGCCCUCACGCGACACCAUCCUCCUUCACCGAACCCUCCGCCCCAAAUCCACCGCCGGCCUCUCUUCUCUCCCGAGCCACAGCCGCCGGUCUCUCCAUCCUUUCCUCCUUCUCGAGCCUCGCGAUUCUCCUCACCAAACCGCCGCCUCUAUCCUCAGCACGGGAUCACACCGACGUUGCUCAUACCAGUGUUGGUCGAGCCUUCUUCCCUCUUCUCCUCGCGAGUUCUCGCAAGCACAGCCGCCGAUCACUCACCCUCACGCGAGCACCACAACCGGCUCAGCGACUGAUCGCGCCGGCGCUGCUCAUCAUGGUGCCGGCCGAAACCUAGGUUGGGAGUGAACGACUCUCCCGACGGUUGCUUCUCCCUUCCGUUCUUUGAUAUCGAGACACCACCGUCGAUCCUAUCUUCGCUGGUCUCCAUAGUCGUCGUGGGUCUCCACAGCUGCUAGACCUAGUUUCUGGUCAUGGAGGAAGUUGUGGACCCUAGGAUAUGUAGCUCCAUAGCAGCACAUACCAUGGGUCUUCGGCAGGAGCUAACAUCCAGCAACCACUCUUCCCAGCCGCAAGCCAACAAGGGAAGACCUCAUCAUAAAGGUUUACCGAAUUGGGAGAUCAGCAUUUCAACCUAGCUCCGACCAUGAUUUUGAUAGCAAGUUCUUCAGCUGAGAGUCCUAUAGCAGGACAUCCAGAUCUAGGACGUUGAUUCGAGACGAGCGUCUCGACGCGAGACUACUUGACACGAUCUAUGUAUAAAGG